CCGCACAAGCGGUGGAGCAUGUUGGUUUAAUUCGAAGCAACGCGAAGAACCUUACCAGGUCUUGACAUCCCGAUGCUAUUUCUAGAGAUAGAAAGUUACUUCGGUACAUCGGUGACAGGUGGUGCAUGGUUGUCGUCAGCUCGUGUCGUGAGAUGUUGGGUUAAGUCCCGCAACGAGCGCAACCCCUAUUGUUAGUUGCCAUCAUUCAGUUGGGCACUCUAGCGAGACUGCCGGUAAUAAACCGGAGGAAGUGGGGAUGACGUCAAAUCAUCAUGCCCCUUAUGACCUGGGCUACACACGUGCUACAAUGGUUGGUACAACGAGUUGCGAGUCGGUGACGGCGAGCUAAUCUCUUAAAGCCAAUCUCAGUUCGGAUUGUAGGCUGCAACUCGCCUACAUGAAGUCGGAAUCGCUAGUAAUCGCGGAUCAGCACGCCGCGGUGAAUACGUUCCCGGGCCUU
rnacentral:rRNA from 1 species